AGUGAACGCUGGCGGUAGGCCUAACACAUGCAAGUCGAACGGCAGCACAGUAAGAGCUUGCUCUUACGGGUGGCGAGUGGCGGACGGGUGAGGAAUACAUCGGAAUCUACUUUUUCGUGGGGGAUAACGUAGGGAAACUUACGCUAAUACCGCAUACGACCUACGGGUGAAAGCAGGGGAUCUUCGGACCUUGCGCGAUUGAAUGAGCCGAUGUCGGAUUAGCUAGUUGGCGGGGUAAAGGCCCACCAAGGCGACGAUCCGUAGCUUGUCUGAGAGGAUGAUAAGCAACACUGGAACUGAGACACGGUCCAGACUACUACGGGAGGCAGCAGUGGGGAAUAUUGGACAAUGGGAGCAAGCCUGAUCCAGCAAUACCGCGUGGGUGAAGAAGGCCUUCGGGUUGUAAAGCCCUUUUGUUGGGAAAGAAAAGCAGCAGGUUAAUACCCCGCUGUUCUGACGGUACCCAAAGAAUAAGCACCGGCUAACUUCGUG
rnacentral:rRNA from 1 species